UCUGAGUCCUAUGAGAGGUAGUUAGUGUGUUGCUUGUCAUAGAGGGUUAGUAGUAUGUCGCUGGUCCAUAGAGGGUAGUAAGCAUGUCACUGGUCCUAUAGAGGGUGGAGUGUCUAGAGUACUUAGUAUGUUGCUGGUCCUAUUGGAGGAGUUGCAGUUGGUGGUCUAUAGAGGUUGGUUAGCAUGUGGUGUCCUAUAGAGAGUAGUUAGUAUGUUCGGCCUAUAGAGGUAGUUACAUGUUGCUGGUCCUAUAGAGGGGUAGUUAGCAUGUUGCUGGUCCUAUAGAGGGUAGUUAGCAUGUUUGCUGUCCUAUAGAGGGUGUUAGCAUGGUUGUGGGUUCCUAUAGAGUAGUUAGUUGUAGCCAGAUGUUAGCUGGUCUAUAGAGUAAGUAGUUAGUUUUGUGUUGCUGGUCCUUUAGAGAUUAGUUAG
rnacentral:lncRNA from 1 species